rnacentral:tRNA from 1 species
GGGAAUAUGGCUUAGUGGUAGAGUGCUUGCCUAGAUGCAUGAAGCCCUGGGUUCAAUUCCUCAGUACUACCU